UAACCUGCCUGGUAGCGGGGGAUAACUAUUGGAAACGAUAGCUAAUACCGCAUAAUAGUAGAUAUCGCAUGAUAACUGCUUAAAAGGUGCAAUUGCAUCACUACCAGAUGGACCUGCGUUGUAUUAGCUAGUUGGUGAGGUAACGGCUCACCAAGGCAACGAUACAUAGCCGACCUGAGAGGGUGAUCGGCCACACUGGGACUGAGACACGGCCCAG
rnacentral:rRNA from 1 species